rnacentral:rRNA from 1 species
AAUAUUGCACAAUGGGCGAAAGCCUGAUGCCGCGACGCCGCGUGAGUGAAGAAGAUCCUCGGAUCGUACAACUCUGUCCUUGGUGAAGAAAGAAAUGACGGUAGCGAAGGAGGAAGCGCCGCCUCACUACGUGCCAGCCGCCGCGGUAAUACGUAGGGGGCUAGCGUUGUCCGGAUUUACUGGGCGUAAAGGGUGAGUAGGCGGUUACAUAAGUCAGAUGUAAAAGGCUAAGGCUUAAACAUGGUAUGCAUUUGAAACAGUGGGACUUGAGUACAGGAGAGGUAAGUGGAAUUCCUAGUGUGGCGGUGAAAUGCGUAGAUAUUAGGAGGAAAACCAGUAGCGAAGGCGACUUACUGGACUGUAACUGUCGCGGAGUGACAAAAGCGUGGGUAGCAAACAGG